rnacentral:lncRNA from 1 species
AAGAAUGACGAUGCUUGCUGGAUCAAAGCAUCCUCAAGCAUCCCUACAAUGUAAUAAAUACCGACGCUUCUCUAUUGUAUCAAACCAAUGUACUAAAUGAUAAAUUUUACUAUUAUUUUUAAUUUUUCGACGUUUUAAAGCAUCAAAAUUUUAAAAAAUUCUAAAAAGUAUAGACGUUUGAAGCGUCAGAAUAUAUUUUACCGAUACUUGGCAUAAGCAUAGGUGUAUAUGUGAAGAUUUUUCAUUUCGCGACGCUUUCAAAUAUAGGGACGUUUUUAAAUAUCAUAAAAUAUUUAAAAAACAUCAUUGAAUAUUAAUAUUUUUGUGGUAUCUUAUAAAAAAAAACUAGCCGAUCACUUAACGGUUUAAGAAUUAUUAAUAGAUUCAUUAAAUUUGAUAAAAUUGUUAGCUUAAUUAUAUGUGAUAUUCAAAUCAAGAAACUGAAAGUUGAGGGGUCUCAAUCCCAAAAAAAACUGAGGAACCAAUUUCUUUUUUUUUUGAGAGAUAUGUAGCACGCUACCCGCUUUGUUUUAUUUCAUUUAGAAAUAAACUUAGCUAGAAAUGUGAAUCAACUAGGAUUCGAACUUGGGUAUCGGGUAUCAACCACCAAGCCCUUUGCCACUUGCUCUAGGAACGGUCGGUCUGAGGAACCAAUUUCAGAACAGCCUAUUGUUG